rnacentral:rRNA from 1 species
GACGAACGCUGGCGGCGUGCUUAACACAUGCAAGUCGAACGAAGUGGCGAACGGGUGAGUAACGCGUAAACAACCUGCCCUUCAGAGGGGGACAACAGGUGGAAACGACUGCUAAUACCGCAUACUGAAGGGGGGGAUUGAGUGUGAUUAGCUAGUUGGGGGGGUAACGGCCCAACAAGGCGAUGAUCAGGAGCCGGUCUGAGUGGAUGAACGGCCACAUUGGGACUGAGACACGGCCCAGACUCCUACGGGAGGCAGCAGUGGGGAAUCUUCCGGAAUUGACGGAAGUCUGACGGAGCAACGCCGCGUGAGUGAUGACGGGUUUCGGGUUGUAAAGCUCUGUUAAUCGGGACGCGGUACCGAAAUAGAAAGCCACGGCUAACUACGUGCCAGCAGCCGCGGUAAUUC